UACGAAGGGGGCUAGCGUUGUUCGGAAUUACUGGGCGUAAAGCGUGCGCAGGCGGCUUAUCAAGUCAGGGGCGAAAGCCCAGAGCUCAACUCUGGAAUUGCCUUUGAGACUGAGUGGCUUGAGUACGAGAGAGGUGAGUGGAAUUCCCAGUGUAGAGGUGAAAUUCGUAGAUAUUGGGAAGAACACCGGUGGCGAAGGCGGCUCACUGGCUCGUAACUGACGCUCAUGCACGACAGCGUGGGGAUCAAACAGG
rnacentral:rRNA from 1 species